rnacentral:misc_RNA from 1 species
GAUGAAGAACGUAGCGAAAUGCGAUAAGUAAUGUGAAUUGCAGAAUUCAGUGAAUCAUCGAAUCUUUGAACGCACCUUGCGCCCUUUGGCCAUUCCGAAGGGCAUGCCUGUUUGAGUAUCAUGAACACCUCAACUCUUUAUGGUUUUCCAUGAUGAGCUUGGACUCUGGGGGUUUUGCUGGCUCACAGUCGGCUCCUCUAAAAUGAAUCAGCUUACCAGUGUUUGGUGGGUAUCAUGGGUGUGAUAACUAUCUACGCUUGUGGUUUUUCCACCAGGUAACCUUCAGCGGUGGAGGUUCGCUGGAGCUCAUAGAUGUCUCUCCUCAGUGAGGACAGCCCUUUGAAUGUUUGAUCUCAAAUCAGGUAGGACUACCCGCUGAACUUAAGCAUAUCAAUAAGCGGAGGA